rnacentral:piRNA from 1 species
CUCUAGUGGCCCACUGAUCUUCCAGU